GAAGGGAUCUGGGCUUUGAGGGGCCUGGAAGAAGGAAGACCAUGUUUCUGAGGGGUUUUAUUAGAGGUGGGAGGGAGUGUCCUCUAGCAUCAGAUGCUCUGACUCUGAAGACAGGACAGUGGACAGGCAUUUGGCUCCAGCAACCCUUGCCUGGAGCUUCAGAAGCCACAGCCUUUGGCAUCAAGGCUGCCCUGUCUGGGGCUGUGCCCUGCUCCCUAUCCCCACAGCAGCCUCCUCUCUCCCAGCUUGCUCAAGGCACCCAUUGCCCCAAAGGCAAACAGUGGCAGACGAUAGGCCAGCCCGACAGGCCCCCAGACUGGGCUGUGUGUCCCAGACACAGGGGCAGAUACAAACACUGCUUGAUGUUAACUGCUGUCUUCAGGGAAGUGGCCCUGCUCUCUGAGAAAGGGGAAGUGUGGGCACUAGAGCCACAGAGGGCAGGCCCUCCCUGCCCCACCCCAGCAGCAGAGAAGCCCCAGAGAUGGAUGAGGCCUGGGGAAGGGAGGGGAGAGAGGGCUGGAGCUGAGGCUAGGAUGCUGGGGGCAGCACUGUUCACUGCAGAGGCCUCAAGCCGCAGUCCAAUAGGUCUGGGGUGGGGGACGGGAUUUGAGGAUCUCAGUCUAAAGAUGAGGAGAUAAGCCUGUCAGUCUAGGACUUCCGGUCUAUAUCUGAUCCUGAUUACCUGGGUCUGUUUUUGUGGUGAAGUCUUCUAUUUUACGUGAUUUUGGUUGGGGCACCAAAAGCCACUGGCUUUGGGCUCUGAAGCAUGUCUUGCCAGGCUCACUCCCACCCAGUGCCUGGAGUUGGGGGCGGGCAGCCUCCUUUGAGCCUAAGCCCCAAGGGUCUGUCUUUCCUGAAAGUCUCAGUUCAAUUUCUUCUCUGCUAAAGGGCUGGAGGAGGGUUUUCCCUGGUGUGUGUGUAUUUAGUCACUAAGUCAUGUCUGACUCUUUGUGACAUCAUGGACUAUAGCCUACUAGGCUCCUCUGUCCAUGGAAUUCUCCGCAGCGAGGAUACUGGAGUGGGUUGCCAUUUCCUUCUCCAGAGGAUCUUCCCAGACCAGGAUUGAACUCGGGUCUCUGGCAUUAGCAGCCCCUUCCUUAGUGACUCAGUGGUAAAGAAUCCACCUACCAAUGCAAGAGAUGUGGGUUCAAUCCCUGGGUCAGGAAGCUCCUCUAGAGGAGGAAAUGGCUACCCACUCCAGUAUUCUUGCUGGAAAAAGUCCAUAAACAGAAAAGUUUGGCAGGCUAUAGUCCAUAGGGUUGCAAAGAAUCUGACAACUGAGUGAGCAUUGUGGAGAGAUGGCUGUGGCUGGGGGCUCAGGGAGUAAGAUGCAGGGGCUCAGAGAUGCCAAGACUUAGGCUUAGGGAGGACGGAUGGGAAGGCAACUCUGGUUCUAGAAGCUGAGCCCUGUGGAACAGUGCCAGGCCUAUAUAACGCCCCAAGGCCUAAGUCAGUCCCCAGAUUUUGUGUCUCCAACUUCAUCACUGAAGAUGUCCUGUCAAAUGUCUGUUCCCAUUUGGGGACACCUGUCAGGAAGCCCACUUCCCAAACUCAAGCUGAGUGUGUGAAUCGGAGAAUCACAAUCCACACUGGCCUAGCCAAGACUCUGAGAAGACCUAAAGAAAAAGUACCGGUUAAAG
ensembl:lncRNA